rnacentral:rRNA from 1 species
AUUGAACGCUAGCGGGAUGCUUUACACAUGCAAGUCGAACGGCAGCGCGGACUUCGGUCUGGCGGCGAGUGGCGAACGGGUGAUUAAUGUAUCUGAACGUGCCCAGUAGCGGGGGAUAACUACGCGAAAGCGUAGCUAAUACCGCAUACGCCCUACGGGGGAAAGCAGGGGAUCGUAAGACCUUGCACUAUUGGAGCGGCCGAUAUCGGAUUAGCUAGUUGGUGAGUUAACGGCUCACCCAGGCGACGGUCCGUAGCUGGUUUGAGUGGACGACCAGCCACCCUGGGACUGAGACACGGCCCAGACUCCUACGGGAGGCACCAGUGUGGAAUUUUGGACAAUGGGGGCAACCCUGAUCCAGCCAUCCCGCGUCUGCGAUGAAGGCCUUCGGGUUGUAAAGCACUUUUGGCAGGAAAGACACGCCGCGGGCUAAUACCCCGUGGAACUGACGGUACCUGCAGAAUAAGCACCGGCUAACUACGUG